rnacentral:rRNA from 1 species
GACGAACGCUGGCGGCGUGCUUAACACAUGCAAGUCGAACGGAAAGGCCCUGCUGUUGUGGGGUGCUCGAGUGGCGAACGGGUGAGUAACACGUGAGUAACCUGCCCUUGACUUUGGGAUAACUUCAGGAAACUGGGGCUAAUACCGGAUAGGAGCUCCUGCUGCAUGGUGGGAGUUGGAAAGUUUCGGCGGUUGGGGAUGGACUCGCGGCUUAUCAGCUUGUUGGUGGGGUAGUGGCUUACCAAGGCUUUGACGGGUAGCCGGCCUGAGAGGGUGACCGGCCACAUUGGGACUGAGAUACGGCCCAGACUCCUACGGGAGGCAGCAGUGGGGAAUAUUGCACAAUGGGCGGAAGCCUGAUGCAGCAACGCCGCGUGCGGGAUGACGGCCUUCGGGUUGUAAACCGCUUUCGCCUGUGACGAAGCGUGAGUGACGGUAAUGGGAAAAGAAGCACCGGCUAACUACGUG